GUAGGAUUAGGGAUGUAGAGUUAGGGAUUUGGGUUAGGGAUGUAGGGUUAGGGUUAGUUAUGUAGGUGUCUGAGUAGCACACACACAGUCAAAUAUACAGCAUUCAUAUGGGUCAGAAACUCCUCCCUGCUCUUGAACCAAGAGAAUACAUUAUAUCAGCUGAGCCUUUCUUUUUUUCCUCAUCCUCUGUUUCACGAAAGACCACGUGCAAAUGGAGAUGCAUGCUGCUAAUGCUUGGUCCAGAACCUGGGGAUUUAUAACACAGUCUUACAAAGAGGUGAGGACCAUCUCUCUGUAGGGCUGUAGAUGGUGGAGGAUGACAUACAGACGAGGAAGAGCAGGGUUAAAGUGGAUCUUCCUUCGCACUUCCAGACACGAGUCCCCUCCCCUGCAGAGAAGCACAUCAAGGUGAGCCCUUCCCCUAAAGUCCCCCAGACAGCACAGGGGUUCACAGGCUGGAGGUCCGCUGUGCCCAGCUUGGGUCUGGAGUGCUUUGGGAAGGUUCACAAAGGCAGGACCAGCUUCCUUAAAGAAAUGAAAUGACCAGCAGAGGCCAGCGAUUAAUAACUCACCUAAAGAUCCCACAUGAAAGGAUUCGAGCUGAAACCUGGCAGUAACACAAAGCAGGAAUGUUGUAAAGUAGAACAGGCUGAAAUAUCUGAAAACAGAUCACUCUUCUGUUUGCGUCUUUGCAGUUCUUUAUUUUUUUAUUUACAUUUCUGUUAUGAACUGAGGAGAAUGUUGUGAAGCUACUUAGCUGUAAGAAAUGUUUUUUCUUGCCUUGGCUAUCACACCAUUUAUACAGAAUAUCAACAAACUGAGGUAUAGAUUGUUACUUAUUACACUAACCCUAACCCUAACC